rnacentral:rRNA from 1 species
AACGAACGCUGGCGGCAGGCUUAACACAUGCAAGUCGAGCGCGUGGCAACACGAGCGGCAGACGGGUGAGUAACACGUGGGAACGUACCCUUUUCUACGGAAUAACGCAGGGAAACUUGUGCUAAUACCGUAUACGCCCUUUUGGGGAAAGAUUUAUCGGAGAAGGAUCGGCCCGCGUUGGAUUAGCUAGUUGGUGGGGUAAAGGCCUACCAAGGCGACGAUCCAUAGCUGGUCUGAGAGGAUGAUCAGCCACAUUGGGACUGAGACACGGCCCAAACUCCUACGGGAGGCAGCAGUGGGGAAUAUUGGACAAUGGGCGCAAGCCUGAUCCAGCCAUGCCGCGUGAGUGAUGAAGGCCUUAGGGUUGUAAAGCUCUUUCACCGAUGAAGAUAAUGACGGUAGUCGGAGAAGAAGCCCCGGCUAACUUCGUGCCAGCCGCCGCGGUAAGAC